rnacentral:tRNA from 1 species
GCCCCCAUAGCUUAACUGGAAAAGCAGCUGCCUCUUAAGCAGACGAGUCCAGGUUCGAGUCCUGGUGGGGGCACCA